GACGAACGCUGGCGGCGUGCCUAAUACAUGCAAGUAGAACGCUGAAGGAGGAGCUUGCUUCUCUGGAUGAGUUGCGAACGGGUGAGUAACGCGUAGGUAACCUGCCUGGUAGCGGGGGAUAACUAUUGGAAACGAUAGCUAAUACCGCAUAAUAGUAGAUGUUGCAUGACAUUUGCUUAAAAGGUGCAAUUGCAUCACUACCAGAUGGACCUGCGUUGUAUUAGCUAGUUGGUGGGGUAACGGCUCACCAAGGCGACGAUACAUAGCCGACCUGAGAGGGUGAUCGGCCACACUGGGACUGAGACACGGCCCAGACUCCUACGGGAGGCAGCAGUAGGGAAUCUUCGGCAAUGGACGGAAGUCUGACCGAGCAACGCCGCGUGAGUGAAGAAGGUUUUCGGAUCGUAAAGCUCUGUUGUAAGAGAAGAACGAGUGUGAGAGUGGAAAGUGCACACUGUGACGGUAUCUUACCAGAAAGGGACGGCUAACUACGU
rnacentral:rRNA from 1 species